AUUCCUUAAGGACCCAGAAAUAUAAAUACCAUCUGACCCAGCAAUCCCAUUACUGGGUAUAUACCCAAAGAAAUAGAAAUCGUUCUAUUAUACAGACACACGCAUAUGUUCAUUGCAGCACUAUUCACAAUAGCAAAGACAUGGAAUCAACCCAAAUGCCCGUCAAUGACAGACUGGAU